CCGAAGCGAAAGCGAGUCUGAAUAGGGCGCAUAGUCGGCGGUGGUAGACGCGAAACCAAGUGAUCUACCCUUGUCCAGGUUGAAGUCCCGGUAACACGGGAUGGAGGACCGAACCAAUAAGCGUUGAAAAGCUUCUGGAUGAGGUGAGGGUAGGAGUGAAAGGCCAAUCAAACUUGGAGAUAGCUCGUACUCCCCGAAAUGCAUUUAGGUGCAGCCUCGGGCGUUCCCUGUGUGAGGUAGAGCGACUGAUUGGAUGCGAGGGCUUCACCGCCUAUCAAGUCCAGACAAACUCCGAAUGCACACAGGCUAAGCCCGGGAGUGAGGGCGUGGGUGCUAAGGUCCACGCCCGAGAGGAGAAGAAUCCUGACCACCGGCUAAGGCCCCGAAAUAUAGGCUAAGUUAAACUAACGAAGUGUGGUCCCCGUGACAGCUAGGAUGUUGGCUUGGAAGCAGCCAUUCAUUCAAAGAGUGCGUAACAGCUCACUAGUCGAGGGACUGUGCAUGGAUAAUAAUCGGGUAUAAAGUCUAUUGCCGAAGCCGUGGGAUAUCUAUUUGAUAUCGGUAGGGGAGCAUUCAUGCGGCCUUGAAGAUAGAGGAUAACCUCUGUUGGAGCUUCAUGAAAAGCAAAUGUAGGUAUAAGUAACGAUAAAGAGUGUGAGAUGCACUCUCGCCGAAAGACUAAGGUUUCCAGGGCAACGUUAAUCGGCCCUGGGUCAGUCGGGACCUAAGGUUCAACCUAAUGGUGAUGCCGAUGGCAGAAACGGUUAAUAUUCCGUUACUAUCUUUGUUGGCGAUGUGGAGACGGAGGAGUGACACUUCCGCGAGCUGACGGAAUAGCUCGUUAAAGAUUGUAGGUAAUGAGGAUGGCAGGCAAAUCCACCAUCCGAGCUGAAAGUCGAUAGUAUACAGCGUCUUCGGACAAUGUAAUAGUGAAGGUAAUCCUACUCCCGAGAAAAUCCGCUAAGCUUAACAUCAAAGAUACCCGUACCGUAAACGGACACACGUAGUCGGGUAGAAUAUACUAAGGCGCUUGGAAGAUUCAUGGUUAAGGAACUAGGCAAAUUGACCCCGUAACUUCGGAAUAAGGGGUCCUCACAGGAAUGUGAGGCGCAGAGAAUCGGCCCAGGCAACUGUUUAACAAAAACACAGGGCUGUGCAAAAUCGAAAGAUGCAGUAUACAGUCUGACACCUGCCCGGUGCUGGAAGGUUAAGAGGAGAGCUUAGACUCCGGUCGAAGGUUUGAAUUGAAGCCCCAGUAAACGGCGGCCGUAACUAUAACGGUCCUAAGGUAGCGAAAUUCCUUGUCGGGUAAGUUCCGACCUGCACGAAUGGUGUAA
rnacentral:rRNA from 1 species